rnacentral:tRNA from 1 species
UGGGAUGUAGCUCAGUGGUAGAGUACUUGCCAAGAAUGUGUGAGGUCCUGGGUUUAAACCCCAGCACCCCUC